ACGAACGCUGGCGGCGUGCUUAACACAUGCCAGUCGAACGGAAAGGCCCUGCUUUUGUGGGGUGCUCGAGUGGCGAACGGGUGAGUAACACGUGAGUAACCUGCCCUUGACUUUGGGAUAACUUCAGGAAACUGGGGCUAAUACCGGAUAGGAGCUCCUGCUGCAUGGUGGGGGUUGGAAAGUUUCGGCGGUUGGGGAUGGACUCGCGGCUUAUCAGCUUGUUGGUGGGGUAGUGGCUUACCAAGGCUUUGACGGGUAGCCGGCCUGAGAGGGUGACCGGCCACAUUGGGACUGAGAUACGGCCCAGACUCCACGGGAGGCAGCAGUGGGGAAUAUUGCACAAUGGGCGGAAGCCUGAUGCAGCAACGCCGCGUGCGGGAUGACGGCCUUCGGGUUGUAAACCGCUUUCGCCUGUGACGAAGCGUGAGUGACGGUAAUGGGUAAAGAAGCACCGGCUAACUACGUG
rnacentral:rRNA from 1 species